rnacentral:rRNA from 1 species
UUAGAGUUUGAUCCUGGCUCAGGAUGAACGCUAGCGGCAGGCUUAACACAUGCAAGUCGAGGGGCAGCGAGAUCAGUGCUUGCACUGAUUGUCGGCGACCGGCGCACGGGUGCGUAACGCGUAUGCAACCUACCCAUUACAGGGGGAUAACACUGAGAAAUCGGUACUAAUACCCCAUAACAUCCAGGGAGGCAUCUUCUUGGGUUGAAAACUCCGGUGGUAAUGGAUGGGCAUGCGUUGUAUUAGUUAGUUGGUGGGGUAACGGCUCACCAAGACAACGAUACAUAGGGGGACUGAGAGGUUAACCCCCCACAUUGGUACUGAGACACGGACCAAACUCCUACGGGAGGCAGCAGUGAGGAAUAUUGGUCAAUGGACGCAAGUCUGAACCAGCCAUGCCGCGUGCAGGAAGACGGCUCUAUGAGUUGUAAACUGCUUUUGUACGAGGGUAAACGCAGAUACGCGUAUCUGUCUGAAAGUAUCGUACGAAUAAGGAUCGGCUAACUCCGUGCCAGCAGCCGCGGUAAUACGGAGGAUUCAAGCGUUAUCCGGAUUUAUUGGGUUUAAAGGGUGCGUAGGCGGUCGGAUAAGUUAGAGGUGAAAUCCCGGGGCUCAACUUCGGAAUUGCCUCUGAUACUGUUCGGCUAGAGAGUAGUUGCGGUAGGCGGAAUGUAUGGUGUAGCGGUGAAAUGCUUAGAGAUCAUACAGAACACCGAUUGCGAAGGCAGCUUACCAAGCUACUUCUGACGUUGAGGCACGAAAGCGUGGGGAGCAAACAGGAUUAGAUACCCUGGUAGUCCACGCAGUAAAACGAUGAUAACUCGUUGUCGGCGAUACAGUGUCGGUGACUAAGCGAAAGCGAUAAGUUAUCCACCUGGGGAGUACGUUCGCAAGAAUGAAACUCAAAGGAAUUGACGGGGGCCCGCACAAGCGGAGGAACAUGUGGUUUAAUUCGAUGAUACGCGAGGAACCUUACCCGGGCUUGAAAGUUAGUGACGGAUCUUGAAAGAGGUCUUCCCUUCGGGGCACGAAACUAGGUGCUGCAUGGUUGUCGUCAGCUCGUGCCGUGAGGUGUCGGGUUAAGUCCCAUAACGAGCGCAACCCCUACCGUUAGUUGCCAGCAGGUCAAGCUGGGCACUCUGACGGGACUGCCGGUGUAAGCCGAGAGGAAGGUGGGGAUGACGUCAAAUCAGCACGGCCCUUACGUCCGGGGCUACACACGUGUUACAAUGGCAGGUACAGAGGGCAGCUACCCAGCGAUGGGAUGCGAAUCUCGAAAGCCUGUCUCAGUUCGGAUUGGAGGCUGAAACCCGCCUCCAUGAAGUUGGAUUCGCUAGUAAUCGCGCAUCAGCCAUGGCGCGGUGAAUACGUUCCCGGGCCUUGCACAAAGCGCCCGUCAAG